GAUGAACGCUGGCGGCGUGCUUAACACAUGCAAGUCGAACGGAAAGGCCAGUGCUUGCCCUGGUACUCGAGUGGCGAACGGGUGAGUAACACGUGGGUGAUCUGCCCUGCACUUCGGGAUAAGCCUGGGAAACUGGGUCUAAUACCGGAUAGGACAAUGGUUUGGAUGCCGUUGUGGAAAGUUUUUUCGGCGUGGGAUGAGCUCGCGGCCUAUCAGCUUGUUGGUGGGGUAAUGGCCUACCAAGGCGUCGACGGGUAGCCGGCCUGAGAGGGUGUACGGCCACAUUGGGACUGAGAUACGGCCCAGACUCCUACGGGAGGCAGCAGUGGGGAAUAUUGCACAAUGGGCGCAAGCCUGAUGCAGCGACGCCGCGUGGGGGAUGACGGCCUUCGGGUUGUAAACUCCUUUCGCUAGGGACGAAGCGUAUUUGUGACGGUACCUGGAGAAGAAGCACCGGCUAACUACGUG
rnacentral:rRNA from 1 species